rnacentral:rRNA from 1 species
UACGUAGGGUGCGAGCGUUAAUCGGAAUUACUGGGCGUAAAGCGUGCGUAGGUGGUUUGUUAAGUCUGAUGUGAAAGCCCUGGGCUCAACCUGGGAACUGCAUUGGAUACUGGCUUACUAGAGUGCGGUAGAGGGUGUGGAAUUCCCGGUGUAGCAGUGAAAUGCGUAGAUAUCGGGAGGAACAUCUGUGGCGAAGGCGACACCCUGGACCAGCACUGACACUGAGGCACGAAAGCGUGGGAGCAAACAGG